CAAGACCUGCGCUUUUGGAGCGGCCGAUGUCUGAUUAGCUAGUUGGUGAGGUAAAGGCUUACCAAGGCUUCGAUCAGUAGCUGGUCUGAGAGGACGACCAGCCACACUGGGACUGAGACACGGCCCAGACUCCUACGGGAGGCAGCAGUGGGGAAUUUUGGACAAUGGGGGAAACCCUGAUCCAGCCAUGCCGCGUGAGUGAAGAAGGCCUUCGGGUUGUAAAGCUCUUUCAGCCGGAACGAAAAGGUUACGGUUAAUACCCGUGACUAAUGACGGUACCGGAAGAAGAAGCACCGGCUAACUACGUGCCAGCAGCCGCGGUAAUACGUAGGGUGCGAGCGUUAAUCGGAAUUACUGGGCGUAAAGCGUGCGCAGGCGGUUUUGUAAGUCAGAUGUGAAAUCCCCGGGCUCAACCUGGGAACU
rnacentral:rRNA from 1 species